UACAGAGGUCUCAAGCGUUGUUCGGAUUCAUUGGGCGUAAAGGGUGCGCAGGUGGCGGCGCGCGUGGGGGGUGAAAUCGCCCGGCUUAACUGGGCGGGGGCCUUCCAGACGGCGUGGCUUGAGCAGCGGAGGGGGACGUGGAAUUCCGGGUGGAGCGGUGAAAUGCGUAGAUAUCAGGAGGAACACCGGUGGUGUAGACGGCUUUCUGGACCGUAACUGACGCUGAAACACGAAAGCGUGGGUAGCAAACAGG
rnacentral:rRNA from 1 species